AUUGAACGCUGGCGGCAGGCCUAACACAUGCAAGUCGAACGAGUGGCGGACGGGUGAGUAAUGUCUGGGAAACUGCCUGAUGGAGGGGGAUAACUACUGAAAACGGUAGCUAAUACCGCAUACCAUCGGAUGUGCCUAGAUGGGAUUAGCUAGUGGGUGGGGUAAAGGUUCACCUGGGCGACGAUCCCUAGCUGGUCUGAGAGGAUGACCAGCAACACUGGAACGGAGACAGGGUCCAGACUCCUCCGGGAGGCAGCGGUGGGGAAUAUUGGACAAUGGGCGCAAGCCUGAUGCAGCCAUGCCGCGUGUAUGAAGAAGGCUUUCGGGUUGUAAAGUACUUUCAGCGGGGAGGCGUUACCCACAGAGGAAGCGCCGGCUAACUCCGUGCCAGCAGCCGCGGUAAUUC
rnacentral:rRNA from 1 species